AGUGAACGCUGGCGGCGUGCUUAACACAUGCAAGUCGAACGCGAAAGGGGGAGCAAUCCCCAAGUAGAGUGGCGAACGGGUGAGUAAUGUGUGGGUAAUUUGCCUUUCAGCGGGGGAGUAACCCGGGGAAACCCGUGAGCUAAUAACCCCACUAACAUGGCUUGAUCUUCGGAUCGAGUCAUCAAACGAUGGCCUCUGCUUGCAAGCUAUCGCUGGAAGAUGAG
rnacentral:rRNA from 1 species